CUGACCUCAAAUCAGGUAGGACUACCCGCUG
rnacentral:rRNA from 1 species